CUACGGGUGGCAGCAGUGGGGAAUCUUAGACAAUGGGCGCAAGCCUGAUCUAGCCAUGCCGCGUGAGUGACGAAGGCCUUAGGGUCGUAAAGCUCUUUCGCUGGGGAAGAUAAUGACGGUACCCAGUAAAGAAACCCCGGCUAACUCCGUGCCAGCAGCCGCGGUAAUACGGAGGGGGUUAGCGUUGUUCGGAAUUACUGGGCGUAAAGCGCGCGUAGGCGGAUCGGAAAGUUGGGGGUGAAAUCCCGGGGCUCAACCCCGGAACUGCCUUCAAAACUCCUGGUCUUGAGUUCGAGAGAGGUGGGUGGAAUUCCGAGUGUAGAGGUGAAAUUCGUAGAUAUUCGGAGGAACACCAGUGGCGAAGGCGGCUCACUGGCUCGAUACUGACGCUGAGGUGCGAAAGCGUGGGGAGCAAACAGGAUUAGAUACCCCGGUAGUC
rnacentral:rRNA from 1 species